rnacentral:rRNA from 1 species
UACAGAGGUCUCAAGCGUUGUUCGGAUUCAUUGGGCGUAAAGGGUGCGUAGGCGGCGCGGUAAGUCGGGUGUGAAAUCUCGGAGCUUAACUCCGAAACUGCACUCGAUACUGCCGUGCUUGAGGACUGGAGAGGAGACUGGAAUUUACGGUGUAGCGGUGAAAUGCGUAGAUAUCGUAAGGAAGACCAGUGGCGAAGGCGGGUCUCUGGGCAUUAACUGACGCUGAGGAGCGAAAGCAUGGGGAGCGAACAGG